rnacentral:rRNA from 1 species
CGCGUAGGCGGGAACGAAAGUGUCUUGUGAAAUCCCUCGGCUUAACCGAGGAAUUGCUUGGCAAACUACGUUUCUUGAGGCAAGCAGGGGUGUGUGGAACUCUUAGUGGAGCGGUGGAAUGCGUAGAUAUUAAGAGGAACGCCGAAGGUGAAAACAGCACACUGGGCUUGUACUGACGCUGAGGCGCGAAAGCGUGGGGAGCAAACA